UAUGUCUUACUCAUUGUUUCCAAAAAAAUAUCAGAUGAGGAUACUGAUGAGGAUAUAGAGAUCGAUGGUAGUCAAGAUGAAUCGAGUGCCACUGAUGUUCCUGACCCGUACGACAAGGUGUAUAGCAACAUCCCUGAAGAAACACAUAUGCUAAAGACUGUUCCCAACUGCGGUUAUUGCACCGCGAAGAAGUUUGAGUAUGAGACACCUGGUUUUUGUUGUCGUGGUGGGAAGGUUGAACUAGCCCCACUUGAGACCCCUCCCCAACUCAAGAGGUUGUGGGAUAGUGCAGACUCUGAUGCUAGGCACUUUCGUGAUAACAUUAG
rnacentral:misc_RNA from 1 species